UACGUAGGGUGCGAGCGUUGUCCGGAAUUACUGGGCGGAAAGAGCUCGUAGGUGGUUUGUCGCGUUGUUCGUGAAAACUCACAGCUUAACUGUGGGCGUGCGGGCGAUACGGGCAGACUGGAGUACUGCAGGGGAGACUGGAAUUCCUGGUGUAGCGGUGGAAUGCGCAGAUAUCAGGAGGAACACCGGUGGCGAAGGCGGGUCUCUGGGCAGUAACUGACACUCAACUACGAAAGCGUGGGGAGCAAACAGG
rnacentral:rRNA from 1 species